UACAGAGGUCUCAAGCGUUUGUUCGGAUUCAUUGGGCGUAAAGGGUGCGUAGGCGGCGCGGUAAGUCGGGUGUGAAAUCUCGGAGCUUAACUUCGAAACUGCAUUCGAUACUGCCGUGCUUGAGGACUGGAGAGGAGACUGGAAUUUACGGUGUAGCGGUGAAAUGCGUAGAUAUCGUAAGGAAGACCAGUGGCGGAAGGCGGGUCUCUGGACAGUUCCUGACGUGAGGCACGAAGGCCAGGGGAGCAAACGGG
rnacentral:rRNA from 1 species